rnacentral:rRNA from 1 species
UACGUAGGGUGCGAGCGUUGUCCGGAUUUAUUGGGCGUAAAGGGCUCGUAGGCGGUUUGUCGCGUCGGGAGUGAAAACCAUGAGCUUAACUCAUGGCUUGCUUUCGAUACGGGCAGACUAGAGGUAUGCAGGGGAGAACGGAAUUCCUGGUGUAGCGGUGAAAUGCGCAGAUAUCAGGAGGAACACCGGUGGUGUAGACGGCUUUCUGGACCGUAACUGACGCUGAGACACGAAAGCGUGGGUAGCAAACAGG